GUGAACAAUUAAGGGCGCGCGGUGGAUGCCUAGGCUCUCGGAGGCGAUGAAGGACGCGAUAAGCCGCGAUAGGCCACGGCGAGGUGCAAGUAACCCUUGACCCGUGGAUUUCCGAAUGGGGCAACCCGGCCGUCUAGAUGACGGUCAUGCAGUAAUGCAAGCGAACGCGGGGAACUGAAACAUCUCAUUACCCGCAGGAGAAGAAAACAAAAUGUGAUUCCCCCAGUAGUGGCGAGCGAACGGGGAAGAGCCCAAACCGUUGCCGUUUCGGCGACAGCGGGGUCAUGGGACCGCGACAUUCGACGGAAGACGAAGUGCAAUUACCUGGAAAGGUAAGCCGUGGAGGGUGACAGCCCCGUGCACGACACCUCUUUCGAAGAUAGCGGGAUCCCGAGUAGGGCGGGACACGAGAAAUCCUGCCUGAAUUCGCCAGGACCGCCUGGCAAGGCUAAAUACUCCCGAGAGACCGAUAGUGAACCAGUACCGCGAGGGAAAGGUGAAAAGUACCCCGAGCAGGGGGGUGAAAUAGACCCUGAACCCGCGCGCCUACAAGCGGUCGGAGCCGGGUAAUCCGGUGACGGCGUGCCUUUUGCAUAAUGAGCCUACGAGUUAGUCGUCACCAGCGAGGUUAAGGGCUUCAGGCCCGUUAGCCGAAGUGAAAGCGAGCCUUAACAGGGCGUCGAGUUGGUGGCGCUAGACGCGAAACCUUGUGAUCUACCCACGAGCAGGUUGAAGUCGCGGUAACACGUGAUGGAGGACCGAACCGGUAAACGUUGAAAAGUUUUCGGAUGACUCGCGGGUAGGGGUGAAAGGCCAAUCAAACUUGGAGAUAGCUCGUACUCUCCGAAAUGCAUUUCGGUGCAGCCUGUGAUGUUCUGUUCCAGAGGUAGAGCUACUGGUUGGACGCGAGGGCUUCACCGCCUAUCAAAUCCGGAUAAACUCCGAAUGCUGGAACACGAAAUCAUGGAGUGAGCCCGCGGGUGCUAAGGUCCGCGGACGAGAGGGAAAGAACCCGGACCACCGGCUAAGGUCCCGGAUGGACAGUUAAGUUGAUCAAACGAGGUGGGAUCGCGGAGACAGCUAGGAUGUUGGCUUGGAAGCAGCCAUUCAUUUAAAGAGUGCGUAACAGCUCACUAGUCGAGCGAUCCCGCGUGGAUAAUACACGGGCAUCAAACUGUCAACCGAAGCCGUGGGGUUAGUGAUGAGCUAACCGGUAGGAGAGCAUUCCUGCCAGCUUUGAAGGUCACCCGCGAGAGUGACUGGAGCGGCAUGAAAAGCAAAUGUAGGCAUAAGUAACGAUAAUGGGGGCGAGAACCCCCCACGCCGCAAGACCAAGGAUUCCCCGGCAAUGUCAAUCAGCCGGGGGUCAGCCGGCCUCUAAGGCUCACCCGAAAGGGGAUGCCGACGAGAAACGGGUUAACAUUCCCGUGCUUCUCGUCACCGUGACGCGGUGACGGGGUGAUGAAUGGACCGCGCGCUGACGGAAUAGCGCGUUGAAGGCCGUACCCUUUGAGGGUGGUAGUCAAGCACGCCACCCGAGGCGAAAGUCGAUAGUACCUCGAGGCCUCGGCCGAGGGGAUAGCGUCCAGGCAAUUUACCCCCUAGAAAACCCGCUAAACUUCAAGUGACGAGGAACCGUACUGUAAACGGACACACGUGGUCGGGUAGAAUAUACUAAGGCGCUCGAGUGAUUCAUGGUCAAGGAACUAGGCAAAAUAGUCCUGUAACUUCGGGAAAAAGGACGCUCUAGUGAUAGAGCCGCAGAGUAAUGGCCCAGGCGACUGUUUACCAAAAACACAUGGCUAUGCCAAAUCGAAAGAUGACGUAUAUGGCCUGACACCUGCCCGGUGCCGGAAGGUUAAGAGGAGAGCUCAUCGGAAACGAGAAGGUUUGAAUUGAAGCCCCGGUAAACGGCGGCCGUAACUAUAACGGUCCUAAGGUAGCGAAAUUCCUUGUCGG
rnacentral:rRNA from 1 species